rnacentral:rRNA from 1 species
GAUGAACGCUGGCGGCGUGCCUAAUACAUGCCAGUCGAGCGAACAGACGAGGAGCUUGCUCCUCUGACGUUAGCGGCGGACGGGUGAGUAACACGUGGAUAACCUACCUAUAAGACUGGGAUAACUUCGGGAAACCGGAGCUAAUACCGGAUAAUAUAUUGAACCGCAUGGUUCAAUAGUGAAAGACGGUUUUGCUGUCACUUAUAGAUGGAUCCGCGCCGCAUUAGCUAGUUGGUAAGGUAACGGCUUACCAAGGCAACGAUGCGUAGCCGACCUGAGAGGGUGGUCAGCCACACUGGGACGGAGACACGGUCCAGAGUCCUACGGGAGGCAGCAGUAGGGAAUCUGCCGCAAUGGGCGGAAACCUGACGGAGCAACGCCGCGGGAGUAAUGAAGAUCUUCGGAUCGUAAAACUCUGUUAUUAGGGAAGAACAAAUGUGUAAGUAACUAUGCGCGUCUUGACGGUACCUAAUCAGAAAACCACGGCUAACUACGUG